rnacentral:lncRNA from 12 species
UUGUACUGUCAGUUUAUCACAGAUCAUCUGACAUCUCCAAAAUGGAUAGCAUGACGUAAAGCUGGAAAAAGAGCUCGAGACUGAAAAAGUCAAAAUAAAAAUUGUAAUGACUUUGGAAUAACGAGGAGCAGGAAAAGAUGGCUGUAUCCAAACUUGUCAAGUCUUCAGGGUACCUCUAUGCCAGCCGGAGAGAACAGCACCAGAGCUGGUUUCCUUGUGUGGAUUUAUUGCAUUAACUCCUUGGGAGCCCUAAAAACAGCAGAGCUGUCAAGGAAUGGGACUUUGCUUUUUUUUUUUUUUUUUUACCUGGAGCACUGCCUGAAGGUUGGACUCUUCUGAGAGGUGCAGGGGGAUAGGCGAAGCAACAAUUGAUACAAAUUGGUACGUGGAAAAUUUGGAUUAGAUGUUUGAAUUGAUUUAUUGUUUUUUUUCACAGGAAGGGCAGUCAAAACACUGGAUGAAGAGCCCACAGAACCUGUGGUCUCCAUCCUCAGCAGUAUAAGGGCUCCAGAUGGACAAGGCUUGGCACAACCUCGUUUAAUUGGUGCUGCUUUGUGCAGGGGUUGCCAUACAUGAUCCCUGAGUCCCUCCCAGCCUGAAUUAUUCUGUGAUUUUGUGAUCAACACAGAGAACAAGGGAAAGGGGCCAGCAGCAUAGGCAAUUUUACAAGUUAUUAAUGUUCUCUGUACUCCAGAGCCUGAGAAGACCAAGCUGGAUCCCCAAACUUCCUACACUGAUAUCCUCUACCAAAGGCCAUGUGGAUGCCUGGGAACUGUACCAGCUGCUGAAGGGGGCAGCAAGGUAAGAACAUUAUUUCUCCAUGUGUGGGAGCACG